CACGUAGGGGGCGAGCGUUGUCCGGAUUCAUUGGGCGUAAAGGGCGCGCAGGCGGCCCGGCAAGUCGGAUGUGAAAACUCGGGGCUCAACCCCGAGCGUGCACCCGAUACUGCCGGGCUUGAGGCAGGUAGGGGAGAUCGGAAUUCCUGGUGUAGCGGUGAAAUGCGCAGAUAUCGGGAGGAACACCUAUGGCGAAGGCAGCUCGCUGGGACGUUACUGACGCUGAGACGCGAAAGCGUGGGGAGCAAACAGG
rnacentral:rRNA from 1 species